rnacentral:rRNA from 1 species
GAGUUUGAUCAUGGCUCAGGAUGAACGCUGGCGGCGUGCUUAACACAUGCAAGUCGAACGAAGUAGCAAUACUUAGUGGCAGACGGGUGAGUAACAUGUAGGUAUCUGCCCUUUGGCCUGGAAUAACACGAGGAAACUUGUGCUAAUACCGGAUAAGUCUUUACGGAGAAAGCUUUAUGCACCAUUGGAUGAGCCUGCAUUAGAUUAGUUUGUUGGUGGGGUAAUGGCCUACCAAGACUGUGAUCUAUAGCUGAUUUGAGAGGAUGAUCAGCCACAUUGGGACUGAGACACGGCCCAAACUCCUACGGGAGGCAGCAGUGGGGAAUCUUGCACAAUGGAGGAAACUCUGAUGCAGCGAUGCCGCGUGAGUGAAGAAGGCCCUUGGGUUGUAAGGCUCUUUCGUCGGGGAAGAAAAUGACUGUACCCGAAUAAGAAGGUCCGGCUAACUUCGUGCCAGCAGCCGCGGUAAUACGAAGGGACCUAGCGUAGUUCGGAUUUACUGGGCUUAAAGAGUUCGUAGGUGGUUGAAAUAGUUGAUGGUGAAAUCCCAGAGCUUAACUCUGGAACUGCCAUCAAAACUUUUCAGCUAGAGUAUGAUAGAGGAAAGCAGAAUUUCUAGUGUAGAGGUGAAAUUCGUAGAUAUUAGAAAGAAUACCAAUUGCGAAGGCAGCUUUCUGGAUCAUUACUGACACUGAGGAACGAAAGCAUGGGUAGCGAAGAGGAUUAGAUACCCUCGUAGUCCAUGCCGUAAACGAUGUGUGUUAGACGUUGGAAAUUUAUUUUCAGUGUCGCAGCGAAAGCGAUAAACACACCGCCUGGGGAGUACGACCGCAAGGUUAAAACUCAAAUGAAUUGACGGGGACCCGCACAAGUAGUGGAGCAUGUGGUUUAAUUCGAAGAUACGCGCAGAACCUUACCAACACUUGACAUGUUCGUCGCGACUCUAAGAGAUUAGAGUUUUCGGUUCGGCCGGACGAAACACAGGUGCUGCAUGGCUGUCGUCAGCUCGUGUCGUGAGAUGUUGGGUCAAGUCCCGCAACGAGCGCAACCCUCACUUUUAGUUGCCAUCAUUUAGUUGGGCACUCUGAAAGAACUGCCAGUGAUAAGCUGGAGGAAGGUGGGGAUGACGUCAAGUCCUCAUGGCCCUUACGUGUUGGGCUACACACGUGCUACAAUGGUAUUUACAACAGGAAGCAAGACGGCGACGUUAAGCAAAUCCUUAAAAAAUACCUCAGUUCGGAUUGCACUCUGCAACUCGAGUGCAUGAAGCUGGAAUUACUAGUAAUCGUGGAUCAGCGUGCCACGGUGAAUGCGUUCCCGGGUCUUGUACACACCGCCCGUCACACCAUGGGAGUUGGUUCUACCUUAAGGCAAGGUUUUAAACCCUUGACCACGGUAUAGUCAGCGACUGGGGUGAAGUCGUAACAAGGUAACC